ensembl:lncRNA
AUCCGUGCUACCUCUGGCGUUCACGCCCUGCUGGGGGAAGGCAAACUUGCAGUCUGUUCAAGUUACUUUUAAAGAAAGUGGUGUCCGGAAGCAGAGGAAGGGAGCUUUUGACCCAACCUGAGACUCCGGCAGUGGAGUUUUCGGAUAGACUAUUCAGGUCAAAACCGGACUUGCAGAGAGAGGAUGAAUGAAAGGAAAAUUAUAAAUAGACGGUGUUCUAAAUCUAGCAUCAUAUUUAAUGAGGAAGCUGAGCGCCGAAGAAUUGAUGCUUUUGACCUGUGGUAUUGGAGAAGACUCUUGAGAGUCCCUUGGACUGCAAGGAGAUCCAACCAGUCCAUUCUAAAGGAGCUCUUGUCACCUAUUUGCUCGGAUGAAGUCAGCUGCCAUGCUCUGAGGAGCCCAGUGGAGAGGCCCAUGGGGUAAGAAGCUGAGGGAAGCCUCAAGCAAAAAACCAGUGAAGAAAUGAGGCCGUCAGCCUAACAGCCUGUGAGGAACUAAAUCCUGCCAGCAAGGCCUUGAAGGAACUUGACAGCAGAUAGUCCGGAGUGGAGCUAUGAGGUGACUGCAUUCUCAGCUGACAGCUUGAUGACAUCUUUGUAGCAGACCCUGAUCCUGGAGAGCCCGACUAGGCCACUGGGACUCCUGAUCACAGGAAAUAUGUGAUAACAAAUGUUUGUUGUUUAAAGCCACUAAGUUUUGGGGUAACUUGUUACACAGCUGCUGCUGCUGCUGCUGAGUCGCUUCAGUCGUGUCCGACUCUGUGCGACCCCAGAGAUGACAGCCCACCAGGCUCCCCCAUCCCUGGGAUUCUCCAGGCAAGAACCCUGGAGUGGGUUGCCAUUUCCUUCUCCAACGCAUGAAAAUGAAAAGUGAAAGUGAAGUCCCUCAGUCGUGUCUGACUCUUCGAGACCCCAUGGACUGCAGCCUACCAGGCUCAUCCAUCCAUGGGAUUUCCCAUACAGCAGUA